rnacentral:rRNA from 1 species
GACAGAGGGGGCAAGCGUUGCUCGGAAUUACUGGGCGUAAAGGGCGCGUAGGCGGGAUGGCAAGUCGGUCGUGAAAUCCUUCGGCUCAACCGAAGAACGUCGAUCGAUACUGCUGUUCUUGAGGGUUGCAGAGGAGACUGGAAUUCCCGGUGUAGCGGUGAAAUGUGUAGAGAUCGGGAGGAACACCGGUGGCGAAGGCGGGUCUCUGGGCAAUUCCUGACGCUGAGACGCGAAAGCGUGGGGAGCAAACAGG